CCUACGGGAGGCAGCAGUGGGGAAUAUUGCACAAUGGGGGAAACCCUGAUGCAGCGACGCCGCGUGAGUGAAGAAGUAAUUCGUUAUGUAAAGCUCUAUCAGCAGGGAAGCAAAUGACGGUACCUGAGUAAGAAGCCCCGGCUAACUACGUGACAGCAGCCGCGGUAAUAAGUAGGGGGCAAGCGUUAUCCGGAUUUACUGGGUGUAAAGGGAGCGUAGGCGGGACUGCAAGUUGGUGGUCAAAUCUACCGGCUCAACCGGUAGCCGCACUCAAAACUGCAGUUCUUGAGUGAAGUAGAGGCAGGCGGAAUUCCUAGUGUAGCGGUGAAAUGCGUAGAUAUUAGGAGGAACACCAGUGGCGAAGGCGGCCUGCUGGUCUUUUACUGACGCUGAGGCUCGAAAGUGUGGGGAGCAAACAGGAUUAGAUACCCCUGUAGUC
rnacentral:rRNA from 1 species